UACGGGGGGAGCAAGCGUUGUUCGGAUUUACUGGGCGUAAAGCGCACGUAGGCGGGUCGUUAAGUCAGGGGUGAAAUCCCGGAGCUCAACUCCGGAACUGCCUUUGAUACUGGCGACCUUGAGGCUGGAAGAGGUUAGUGGAAUUCCCAGUGUAGAGGUGAAAUUCGUAGAUAUUGGGAAGAACACCAGUGGCGAAGGCGGCUAACUGGUCCAGAUCUGACGCUGAGGUGCGAAAGCGUGGGGAGCAAACAGG
rnacentral:rRNA from 1 species